rnacentral:rRNA from 1 species
GUGCCAGCAGCCGCGGUAAUACGGAGGGUGCAAGCGUUGUCCGGAUUUAUUGGGUUUAAAGGGUGCGUAGGCGGCUCCAUAAGUCAGCGUUGAAAUACGGCAGCUUAACUGUCGGACUGGCAUUGAUACUGUGGAGCUUGAGUAAAGUUGAGGUAGGCGGAAUUGAUGGUGUAGCGGUGAAAUGCUUAGAUAUCAUCAAGAACAUCGAUUGCGAAGGCAGCUUACUAAGUUUUAACUGACGCUGAGGCACGAAAGCGUGGGGAUCGAACAGGAUUAGAUACCCGCGUAGUCC